ACACGACUACAUUAGAUACCCGGGUAGUCCAGGGUGUAAACGCUGCGGGCUUGGUGUUGGGGGUCCUUAGUGGGCGCCCAGUGCCGGAGAGAAGUUGUUAAGCCUGCUGCUUGGGGAGUAUGUCCGCAAGGAUGAAACUUAAAGGAAUUGGCGGGGGAGCACCGCAACGGGUGGAGCUUGCGGUUUAAUUGGAUUCAACGCCGGAAAUCUUACCGGGACCGACAGCAACAUGAAGGCCAGGCUGAAGACUUUGCCGGAUUAGCUG
rnacentral:rRNA from 1 species